rnacentral:rRNA from 1 species
AUACAGAGGGGGCAAGCGUUAUUCGGAAUUAUUGGGCGUAAAGGGCGCGUAGGCGGUUUUUUAAGUCAGAUGUGUAAUCCCCGAGCUUAACUUGGGAACUGCAUCUGAGACUGGAAGGCUAGAGUACUGGAGAGGGUGGUGGAAUUCCUCGUGUAGCGGUGAAAUGCGUAGAGAUGAGGAGGAACACCAGUGGCGAAGGCGGCCACCUGGACAGUAACUGACGCUGAGGCGCGAAAGUGUGGGUAGCAAACAGGAUUAGAUACCCUGGUAGUCCACGCUGUAAACGAUGAACACUUGGUGUGGAGGGAGUUGACCCCUUCCGUGCCGGAGCUAACGCGUUAAGUGUUCCGCCUGGGGAGUACGGUCGCAAGGCUGAA